CUCCAGGAGACUUCUUCCAUGGGCCUGUGAGCUACAGGCAUGGAGGUGAUACAGGGAAAAGAUGUAACUCCCAACCAGCUAGAUGUCAGAUACACUAAGUUUGUGUCCCCUGAAAUCUAAGAAUGAACUCCAAAGGAUAAAGGCUGUUGAGAGGAUCUGCAGGGGAAGAGAACAAGAAGUCACCAAGAAGCAGAGUCUCACCAUGCAGUUCAGGCUGGCCUUGAGCUCACUUUGUAACCCAUGCUGGUCUCAAACUUGCAACGAUCCUCCUGCCUCAACCCCCGAGUCCUGGGAUUACAGGCUCAGGAGCACCCAUAAGUCAAUGUUUAAGGCUGCAGUGUUCGGGGCCCACAUGCCACAUGAGAGCCGGCACUAUCCCUCAGAACCUCUGGACCAUGGAGCCCGUCUAUCUCUGCUUGAACCCAAAGAGACGCAGGCGGUGACCUGACACAGGAGA